AGUGAACGCUGGCGGUAGGCCUAACACAUGCAAGUCGAACGGCAGCACAGUAAGAGCUUGCUCUUACGGGUGGCGAGUGGCGGACGGGUGAGGAAUACAUCGGAAUCUACUUUUUCGUGGGGGAUAACGUAGGGAAACUUACGCUAAUACCGCAUACGACCUACGGGUGAAAGCAGGGGAUCUUCGGACCUUGCGCGAUUGAAUGAGCCGAUGUCGGAUUAGCUAGUUGGCGGGGUAAAGGCCCACCAAGGCGACGAUCCGUAGCUGGUCUGAGAGGAUGAUCAGCCACACUGGAACUGAGACACGGUCCAGACUCCUACGGGAGGCAGCAGUAGGGAAUCUUCCGCAAUGGGCGAAAGCUUGACGGAGCAACGCCGCGUGAGUGAUGAAGGUCUUCGGAUCGUAAAACUCUGUUAUUAGGGAAGAACAAAUGUGUAAGUAACUAUGCACGUCUUGACGGUACCUAAUCAGAAAGCCACGGCUAACUACGUG
rnacentral:rRNA from 1 species